rnacentral:pre_miRNA from 1 species
UACUUCAUCUGAAAAAGUCAUCAAUAACAAAGUUGUACGACAAAGUUGUAUGACUCAUCAAGAUCUAUAACUUCUAUUUUGGUCAUUUCUUCAUCCGACAAAGUUAUUUAUAAGAUUGUUUACAAAAUGUACAUAUCUCUUAUAUAGUUUAUAAAACUAUAAGAGAGAUGUACAUUUUGUAAACAUUCUUAUAAAUAACUUUGUCGGAUGAAGAAAUAACCCAAAUAGAAGUUAUAGAUCUCGAUGAGUUAUACAACUUUGUUGUUGAUGACUUUUUCAACUGAAAUC